GUCUGUGCGUCCGUUCGUCCGUCCGUUUGUCCGUCCGUUCGUUCGUCCGUCUGUCCCGCUUCAGGUUAAAGUUUUUGGUCAAGGUAGUUUUUGAUGAAGUUGAAGUCCAAUCGACUUCAAACUUAGUAAACAUGUUCCCUAUGAUAUGAUCUUUUUAGUUUUAAUGCCAAAUUAGAGGGUUUACCCCAAUUUUACGGUCCACUGAACAUAGAAAAUGAUAGUGCGAGUGGGGCAUUCGUGUACUGGGGACACAUUCUUGUUGGUGAUAAUUCAAAAUUUCAUUUUUGAGUUAUUGAGUAUUUUGUAAAAAAGGGG
rnacentral:lncRNA from 1 species